rnacentral:rRNA from 1 species
GUGGGGAAUAUUGGUCAAUGGACGGAAGUCUGAACCAGCCAAGUAGCGUGCAGGAUGACGGCCCUAUGGGUUGUAAACUGCUUUUAUAUAGGGAUAAAGUCGGGGACGUGUCCCCGUUUGUAGGUACUAUAUGAAUAAGGACCGGCUAAUUCCGUGCCAGCAGCCGCGGUAAUACGGAAGGUCCAGGCGUUAUCCGGAUUUAUUGGGUUUAAAGGGAGCGCAGGCUGAUGAUUAAGCGUGACGUGAAAUGUAGCCGCUCAACGGCUGAACUGCGUCGCGAACUGGUUAUCUUGAGUGAGUUCGAUGUUGGCGGAAUUCGUGGUGUAGCGGUGAAAUGCUUAGAUAUCACGAAGAACUCCGAUUGCGAAGGCAGCCAACAAGGCCUUUACUGACGCUAAAGCUCGAAGGUGCGGGUAUCGAACAGG